AGCCUUAAUGUGGCCCGUGUUCUUUGUGAGUAAACAAAUUGGCCUUUGAUGUACCUAACAGCCUGUCUACAUGCAAAGUGUACCAUUGAGAUGACUGCUUAUCUCCUUGAUUCAGCUUUGGCCAAGGCAGAGACGGAGCUGAGAGACUGGCUUUUUGCUUCAUCAGAUCAAGGGAGGAAUCUUUGGCAUGAUCCAGGAAGCACUUAAGCUCUGUGGAAUCUGAAAAAUUAGAUUGAGCAACAGCAGUGGGAGAGCAUAAACAGCUCAUAGGAACAGGCGGACCCAUUUGUUUUCCAGACGUUUAGAAACUUUAUGCAGAUGUCACCAAGCCACAAUAAGUUUCCGUUUAUCCAUUGGUUAUGGUUUAAUCUAGUCUGUAAGAGGGGGAGAAGCUGAAAUGAAAAUGUGCGUAGUUUAAUGAAGACUAAGGAUAAAAAAUGAGUUUGACAUCAAUCAUCUCUUACCCUUUGGUAGGUAUUCAGACUAAAUGGCGAAAAAGGCCUGCGUUAUUGAUAGGAAUGGGUGUGCUCUUGAAAGCCAGUAAAACAGCUCUGACUGAGCAUGUGGUGUCAAGUCUGCCCCUGAAAGGAUUGUUGUCACCAUACAAAUAUUGUAUGUAUGUCACUUACACACCCUGACUAAGAAAUGUUACCACGCCCUUAUUCAAAACAAGUCUGCCUUGAGAAAGUUCACAAGGGGAAUCAGCUUUUGCAGUUUACUGGGAAAGAGAGGUGAAAAUAUAACGUUUCCAUUCUGAAGAUCUUUGCUGUAGUGACAUUCUCCCUGUUGGAUAAAAACUUUUGAAAAGUUUCUACAUACUUCGUUAAGGAUUUCCUCCCUUGCAGUGUAAGGAAGACGGUUGCGGUAUGUAUUCAAUGGUCUGGAAUGGGAAGGGCUUGUUGUCACAUCGCGAACGGUUUCACCUCACAGUUUUUCAUUCACAAUCAUUUCAGAUAUGGGCCGUUGCUGCAAGUUGUCAGUGUUGAACAUGAAGUGGGUGUGACCAACUGCGUAAAGGGAAAGUCGCGGUCCACAGCCCUUCAUGCUAUGAAUGACUCAUGUCCAGGGUAGGUCAAAGAAAAAGAAACAACGAUUUCAAGGGGGAAAAAAGAUAAAGACAAGAGAAAUGAGAAACCCGAAGACCAUAGCACCUGCCAUUGAAAUCUUUUCUAAAUGUUCCAUCACGAACAGAACUUUACAAGACUAACGACUGCUGAAAGUUUGGCCCGCGACUUCUGCAACGCUCUCAGAAUAAACGGUCACGCCAGAGGGAUGUCGCUGCACAGACAACAAGCCUACCCAGACAUGGAUGAGGUCAAACUUCAGCCUCAGGUCAGACAUCAUGCCUGGACUCAUGGUCGGGUUUGGGUUGUUUGUUUUUUAAUCAGUUUUCAACCAGAGAUACUUUUACAUCCAAUUUAGAACUUUUAAAAAUGUAAAAAAUAAACAAAUAAAUCAUAAUUGAUUAUGCUUAAAAUAUGAUGAAAAAUAUUUCACCAAAUUUAAUUUCCAAGUAAAAAAAACCUUGUAAUCUUCAUUUAUUGACAAUAAACACAUUUAAACACAAACAGUGAAUGGUGUGAAGUUUCUCGCAGCAUAAUAUGUCUAACAUGAACAGGAGUUGUUUUUUCCUUGUGAUUAAAGUUAGUGGUACUGGGUCUGUGGGCACCUGAAUACAAGCCGGCAGCUGAAUCUUUCACCUGUGGUUAGUGAGCAUGUGAUGUAUUCUUGCCUGCAGCUCUUCCCUGAAACCCCCAGGGUGGUUUCAUAGAUACUCAGAACUCUAUUGCGUCCCUCAAUCACACUUUUAAUCUAGACUCAUGCAAAAGGUGGUGUAAAAUGUUACUCCUUAUGUGUGGGAGAUUUUCACCUGUGUGUUGGGCCCAUCAUUCUGGUUUUGGGCUAGAUAGACUGAUGAGACUGGUAAGACUACUAUAGGAUAUAUACGGUUAUAUUACAAUUUAAAUAUAGUUAUGUAAUAUCAGAUUUCAUUAAACCUUCAUUAAACGAUUAGUCCAGUGUUUACAGUAUUCCUGAACUUGUUUACUGACUGGAAUAAUUAGAUAGUCCAGAGACCAGUGGCCAUUGGUUGUUGCCAGCCCCGGUCUGACCAUAUACGGCCAGUGUCGAUGUAGGAAAUGACUGAAGCCAUGUGUAUAACAUAUGAGUGCACAUGGAAUAACAGCCAUCACUGUCAGAUACAGUGUACAGCAGGAGCAGAGACAUGUAUCACAUUUUAUUGACAGAGAGGCAAUUUGGAAGAAAAUAACAUUGGUGUGUUCAUCUGCCCCAUUUAACCGCCACACUCACGGCAAGAAGGAAUAACUACCCAUAAAGCUCUUCUGUAGUACCUCCACUCGAAUAGAGGGUGGCCUGAGGUCAUGAGCAUGAGCCCCUAGGGUUGUUCCAGGUCGGGGCCAAAUGUCAGGUUAGUUCGGGUCAUGCAUUUCUGGCUGGAGUGAAAUCUGGGUCAUGUAAUAGUUAUCUACACAUCCCAUGCAACAAGGUCCUUAUCUCUGCAACAACUGCUCAAGAAGGUGUCUCCAAACGCCUGCAUUUGCUUUUGGUUAGUGAUGCUUUACAGCUCACGUCCAUCACAUCAACGGCGAUACUAAUUAUAGUAUAUCAAAUGGCACAGGUGGCUAAUUUAUCACCAAAAGAUUACUCUGGACGACGCGCCCUUCAUGCGAGUGUGGUCUGCAUCACUGUCUCCAGCCCCGUAAACACCGGCCUCUCAAGACUGACAGCAGCAGAGCUUUAUUAGCCCAAUCACGACAGUAAUUACUUGAUUCAGACUGCUAACGUCUAAUUGCACCCUGUAUGGGGGGGGGGGACACAUCCUGUUGUGAUGCCUGUCUGAAUCAGAGCCAUCGCGGCGGGAGCCUAGCAGCCGUGCUCUGACAUGGCGCUGAACGUGUCACUCCGGGGAGUUUUAUAGAAAUCCAGACGUUUAUGAGAGUAACCUUAAGCUAUAGAUGAACUAUUUAACCAUCCCGUUUAAUUGCUGUGGAUAAUCAGCACUUGUGAUUUACACAUUGUACGGGACUUAAAAGAACACGUUGUGCUAGUCAAACACUGAGGAAAGACACUGAGAAAAGACAGAGCACUGUCACGCCUUAACCAAGAAAAAGCUAAACGCAAGAAAAAAAUGAAGAAUUCAUAAUAUGAGAAAUAUAAUUUCACAAAAGUCUGUCCACAGGUUUCACUACAGAUGUGUCAUGUGAGAAAUACACUGUUUGAUGGAAACCUAAAAAAGAAUUAGGAAGUACCUUCAGUUCUGUGGCAGUGUUUUGAAAGGUGUUUCUUGCCGCCCUUUAUUAAUAGUCUUUACAGGAAACAUGUAUUUUUCCUGAAAUCAGCCAGGCCCUGCCUCUGACGGUCAAAGACGAAAAAAAAAAAAGUCAGAAACAUAACACUAUGUUUUUGUUCUUUUCAUUUUAAUUUACAGUCCAGUAUAAUUAAUAGAUCGAUUGUUUACUGUUAUGUAUUAGCAUUUAGUUGAUGUUUUACGUUCUGGUAACUGUCAUUUUCAGCAUAUACUGUCAGCGGGGAACUUCUACAUUUCAGAACAAAGCAUGACACCUCUUUGCACUGGUCUUUCAGUAUGUGGUCGCUUGGCUGUUCCUGGCCGCUCCCUCAUAUGCCUCUCGUGACUCAGCCAAAACACAGGAAGUUGUUUAAACAUCCAGGGUCACGUCUUUCUCUCUGCUCAGAGUCGUGUUCUUUACAUUCCCAGGCCCCUUGGCUGUGGAGAUUUACACUGAAGUCCUCCCUCUUUGUAGUACUGUAUAUGUGCUUAUUCAAGGGCUGCCACAAAAUGGAUGACAGUCCAACCCUGUGUCGUGCAUCCCAAUGUCAACAAUAUCUUGGUCUGGGUUGUACUUGACAAAAGAUUGUUGUAGAGGGAAACUACUAGUGGUCAUUUGUAACAAAAACAAGUUGGAGUAAAAAAGUGCGAUGGAGAUAUGAUUAAUAUCUGCAUACAUCCACUGACAGCCUUCACACAAAAGCUGAAGUGACUCAUGGUGCUGGGACACUGAGUUUCUGUGGUGUUAACCCCUUCAUGGGAGUUGUCAUGGCUCUAAAAAUGUGUUAAAUGAAAAGGGAUAUGGUGGCAAUUUAAUUAUGAAGGAAUCAAUCUUGACAUGUUUGCCUGAAAAUGAAUAAAUCACCCAUUCUAAACAUAUUAUAGUUAUCAUAUUUAUUUUCCCUUUGUUCCUUUAAAGGGUGACCAAAAUAAAAAUGGGCACAUUCUGAGAAAUAUAUCUUUCAGUCUUAACAUGUACCUGACAAAAGGACAUUUAUUCUUCCCCCCAUGAAAACUGCAACUGCUCCCAAUUAUUUUCCACAGCCCUCUUCAUUUUAUUGGUCUGAGGUGGGUCAUUAUUCUGAGACUGUCGCCUGCCUUUUUGCUUUUUCUUGUCCGUACUGGCAUUCUUUGCAGCAGUGAAAGAGAGAAAGAGACAGAGAAAGAGAGGGGCACACAAAGAGAAAAGGGAGAGAGAGAGCGAGAGCGCGCGCGCGCGAGAGAGAGAGCACACACAUCCAGAGAGGGAGGGAGAGAGUGUGUCUGAGCAGUGUCUGGGCUAGCGCUCACAGUGCCUCCGGCGAUCAGACUGGGACACGCCCAGACAUGUCUCAUAGCAGCUCUCCCUCUCUCUCGCUCUCCCUCUCUCUCUCUCCCUCGCUCUCUCUCUCUCUCUCCCUCUCCCUCGCACUCUCUCUAUCUCUCUCUCCCUCUCCCUCUCCCUCUCCCUCUCUCUCCCUCUAUCCCUCUCUCUCUGCUCUUUGGACAUUGCAGUGUAAACAUGGUCAUGCAAUCUGUGCCAGCUGCUUGGGGCAAUGCCUGACUCGGCUGCAGGUUGCUUUGCUGACUACUCUUCAACAUACACACUUGUUUUCUCACACUCACAUCAUACUCACACUUUACUCUCCCAACUGUGUGUGAUGUGACAAUUUGCUGUUUUAUUAACUUUUUUAAACCACAUCUGUGGACAUGCCCCCUGCAAACUGGGCUACACCUGCCCCUCUUGAUUAUUGGAGCACAAGGAGGAAAAAAGAAACAUAGAACUUUAUCAACUAUCAAAUGUGUCUAUAAUCAAAUUUAUGGAAAUGGAAGUUUUUCUUACCUUAACUACCCUGCACAGAAAACACUUGAUCAUGCUAUUGACACAGUUGAUCAUGGUAUUUGUCGUGUCUGAUUUGUAGGUUUGUGAUUUGGAAAACACUCAUCUUUUCUGAUCUGAAUAAAACUCUAAUUUUAUGGUUCUUUGGUUCUUCAAAAACUUCAGGAGUCAUGCAGAGUGUGGAGCAAAAAAGGUUUAUUUUGCCAUUGCAAUACCAACGGCAUAAACCUGAGCAAGUCGCGAGACUAUACUGGCGUUACAGAGUCUUCCAUUCUCUUUUAGACAUCUGAAGAGACCCUCUUGUCACUAUAAAUCACUUAUGGCCCUCCCCGUGGGAUAUAUGUAGCUGGAGUAUUGAGGGCCUGGAAAUGCUUGGUGUCAUCUUUUGGUCAGUUCACUGCCUCCCCUCCCCUCCCCUACCCUCCCCCUUAUGUCUGAGCCUUAGCCACCUGCAUCAAACACACUCUGAAUCACCCCUGGUUUGGAACUGUGCCCAGUUCAGUAUAAGAAAAGGGGGGACGGGGGUUACCAGGGGUUACCAGGCCUUCAGGCCGGCGUAUAGAGGGUUCUCACAGCCUUCUGUGUAGUUACUCCCUACACACUAUGCCUAGAUUUGGCACGUAUUUAAACAUAGAAUGCACAUAAUGUAAUCCAUAUCAAUAGUGUAACUCAUUUUGUAGUAGUAUAGUAGUUUUGAUAGCUUGUUAUUAUGAAUAUCCUAGUGGUUAUAUGGAUCGUUAAUGUUCUACCCACACGUAUUUAUUUAUUUUCCUGAGGGUGGUGGGUGGGUGGGGGGCUGAAGGGAGGUUGGGGAUUGUUGGCUUUUGUUGUUUAUGUUGUUGUAAAAUCACAGAAAAUAUGAAGGAUACCUUUGUAAUCUUAUUCUGUACAACCCCAAUGUACCCUUCAUUCAAUAAAUAUAUAUAUAUAAAAAAAAAAAAAUGUUCUACCCACACUGGUUAUUAUACUGAUAGUUAGAAGUCUACACAGUGGUUAUUGAGUUUUCAUUCACAUAUUUUCUACCACAUAUUCUUGUUGGCAAAAUUGAGAUGAACCCGCUUUAGAAAGGCUUGCCCAAUGAUGCCUACAAGCUGUCCAAUAUGAAGUAAAAAAUGACUCAAAUGAAAUUACUCCUG